rnacentral:rRNA from 1 species
UACGAGGGGGCAAGCGGUUGUUCGGAAUUAUUGGGCGUAAAGGGCGCGUAGGCGGCCUUCUAAGUCAGACGUGAAAUCCCUCGGCUCAACCGAGGAACUGCGUCUGAUACUGGAAGGCUUGAAUCCGGGAGAGGGAUGUGGAAUUCCAGGUGUAGCGGUGAAAUGCGUAGAUAUCAGUCGGAACACCGGUGGCGAAGGCGGCUUCUUGGGCCUGGACUGACGCUGAGGCGCGAAAGCGUGAGGAGCGAACAGG